rnacentral:rRNA from 1 species
GCCAGAAAUGAUAUGCUUGGUUGAACGAUUAAGCCAUGCACAUGUAAGAGUGUCUCUUCGGGGACGGUCAGUAAAUGGCUCAUUAUACAGAGGCUUAGCAAAGGGGGGGAUGGAUGCUGAAAGGUGUCUGAAGAAGGAUAACCAUUCAAAAUGGAUGGAUAAUACUUGGAGAGCGGGGUGCUGGGUGACUGGUAGCCUGGGAAAGAGUGUUGUCGACGAGAGUUGGCUGGUGAAUCAAGUCUUUUGGAGAAAGCCCGCGGAAAGAUGUGGGCAGUCCCUCGUGCAGCCUUUAUCUAUCAGCUUUAGACGGUAGUGUAGAGGACUACGGUGGCGGUAACGGAUACGGAGAAUUAGGGUUCGAUUCCG